GGCCAGCAAAGGUCACAGCCCGUGCGCUCCACACAUUUCUAUAUAUGAUUCGAGCGGGACUCCGUGAGCAAUGAGAGUGGCAACGUCAGCGAAAAUUCUACCGUUCCUCUGAUUUCUAACCGAGGGUGAAGAUCGGUUCUCACCGUGGCAAUUAUAGCGCCGUCUUCCUCGUCGAGGCGUUCACACCGGCGCAGGAGCUGCUCAACUCAACUGCUUUUUUUCUCGUGUUCACACCGUCCUCUGCGCGCGCGAUGACCUGUGAACGCCAGAUCUGCGCGGCUUUUUUCUAGAUGGUUCUCGUCGGGCUAUUCGUGCUCGCGAGAUCCGCGCGGCGGCGGCAGGGCGGAGGCGCCUCGCGCGGCGUCCGGGCCGCGGUGGAGGCGGAGGCGGUGCGGCGGCGACGGAACUCCCCAUCCUCCUCCCUCCAUCUCGGCGCGUGUGCGGCAGUGCGGCGGCGGCAGAGCACAACAACCGUGGCGGUGCGGAGGCGAGCGAAUCCAGGUGCUGCCGGCCCUCCGACCCCUCCCUCCCUCUCCCUCUCCCUCUCCUUCUCCUCCCCUGCUCCCCAUCAUCCUCCCUCCCACUCCCUCGACGGCGGGGCAUAGGGCCAUGGCGGCAGCGGAAGGCGAAGGCCCGCGCGGGGCCAUGGCGGUGGCAGCCAGAUCCACGGGGGUCCUCGCUCCUCCUUCCUCGCCGGGGGAUCGAGCGGCGGGCACGACGAGCUGCUGCAGCAGCCCGGAUCCGCAGGCCCUCGGCCUCAGCUUCCCGCAACGGACUGUCGCCGCCCCUGCGUGCCGCCGUCUUCCUCUGGGCGCCGCCAUCUCUCUCUCUCUCCCCCCCCCCUGUGCCGCGCGACGAGUGGGCGGCGGCCGGGCUCCUGCCCGAACGAGCUGCACAACUACAACAGAUCUUUUGCAUUUCCUCCCCAAUGCAAAAACGGCCAGUACAACAAAAACAACGACAGUGCAGGAAGGGGUGUGGAUUGAACUCCAUCGAUGGAGCCACGGAGGCAACCGGUCAUCAGUCAUUCGCCAAACGCAUUGCAGAAGGUAAUUAAUUAGCCAAUUGGUCUUUGUAUAUGAUGUUCGUCUAUUAAGUAUGUGUGAAACUAUUAGUACCUGAUUCCAACACCUGUAAAGCAUGAUAAAGUUUUCCUAAAUUUUGUGCCGGUCUACUUGAUUAUAUAAUACAUGUUUGCUAUACAUGUGACGAAAUCUACAAAAUAAACUUCAAAUGUUGGCUUAAAUGUUGCUCAUUCUAAUGGCAGGCUUUUAUAGAUGAUAGUAAAGAUCUAACAGAAAUGGAAAUAUCCAUGGACAGUUUAAUAUAUGCAGAGGUGCUGAAGUUUGCUAACUUUGAAUUUCGUUUGUCAUUAUUCCCUGAUCCUGAUGUAAUUUAAGGCUCAGCCAGGUCUGCAUUUUUCAUCCCUCAUUUGUUGGUUUGGUGAAAAUAGUGUAUGCACUUAACUAAGUCCAUUUUUGAAGAAACAAAACCAGGGGGUUCAGGCUCUGGUGCACCAUCAGAGAAGCAUGACUGGGGACGGCCUCCCAGCUCUGGGAAGAUGCAACAGUUAGCUUCUUUGGUUCCAAUUGCUGAAACAAUCUCAUUUUAGUUGGCUUCCAGCUCUUCAUAAAUUGUUAAGUUGCAAAACAUCCUAGAGAAAUAUCAGAUCUAGUGACAUCAGUCUUCACUGCUUGAAAUUCUUUCACCCAAGACUCCGAGAGAUACUGAUCAUGUUUGCGAAUUCAAAUUUGGUGCUAGAUGCAGACCUGGUUUUGUUUUGUUGCUUCUUACUGCCUGAUAUUCAUUCACCUGAAAGAUACUGAUCAGGUUUGCCAAUAGAAUUUUUAUGCUAAUUGCUGACCUAAUUUGAUUUGAUUGCCUGAUAAAAGUUAAUAUACUUGGAUCAAUAUACUUUGCAUUCAAAUUGUUCUGAUUGCCUCGAGUACUGUCUACCAUAUAAAUCUUUGAUUACUGAAGUUGGGGAUGAUAGAAUUGUAUUAUGUGGUGUAGAAUUAUAGCUACCACAGCUGGAGUUAGUCACACAUCUCGGCAUUGUUAAUUCUUUUGGAGCGCUGCAGAGUAAUCCUUAAUCUUUGCCUAUGAACGAUCAUCUUUGCAAGCUGUUCUAUUCUUGUAAUGUGUUUACAGUUUUAGUUUAGCAGAUUACAGUCAUUAUGUGUUGGUUGUCUGCAUAUUGUAUACCAAGUUAUUGUAUUAUUUGUUUUUCUAGGUAAACCACCCUUUUUUUCUCUUUGCAAAAAUGCUUCAUUAUAGUGAUCUAAAGUUGAGUACUUGGUUAAUCACAUGAACUCCGUGUGUUAGUACUCUAUGAUUCAAUUUCAUUUUCAGAAUGUUGGUAUGGUACAUGCUUAACUAACAAAAUGUUUUGUUACCAUGGCAACAAGCAUUUGUCCUUUGUGCCAAACAAGCAAUGAAAGUUUCAUAUUGUCCUUAUUGAAUUGUGUUGUUUCGGUCGAUAUUAAUCUUUUGGUCGAUUUAUGAGUACUGGAAAUAAUCUUUUCAUCUUUGUAGGCGAAAAUAAUCAACCAUGGUGUUUGCCCGGUGCAUAGAGUUAAAUGACAUGCAUAUAGCCCCUACAAUACAAUGGCGUGGACUCUUAGACACAACUUGAGAUAUAAUUUCUAAAUUUAAAUGUAACUAUCAAACAUUCUGCACCUCUCUUGUUUUAUUAUCAAGGGAUCAGGCAAUGACUCCUAUGUAUCAAAGCCAUUUGCCCAUUUGUGUUUUGUUUCCUGAGAAGGAUUCAUGUGUAUAAUGAUUCUAAGUUUUGGUGUGCGCUUGGGAGUUC